rnacentral:rRNA from 1 species
UACGGAGGGUGCGAGCGUUGUCCGGAUUUACUGGGCGUAAAGAGCGCGCAGGCGGUCGUAUAAGUCGAAUGUGAAAGCCCCCGGCUCAACUGGGGAGGGUCAUUCGAUACUGUUCGACUCGAAGGCAGGAGAGGGAAGUGGAAUUCCGGGUGUAGUGGUGAAAUGCGCAGAUAUCAGGAGGAACACCGGUGGCGAAGGCGGUUCUCUGGGCAUUACCUGACGCUGAGGAGCGAAAGUGUGGGGAGCGAACAGG